rnacentral:lncRNA from 1 species
UUUUAUCCAACUCUCCAGUGCUGCUCAACGCCUCUUCAUCUUUCCGAUCUCCUCUUCAGCUUCUUCACAACCACCGCCGGCAGCUGUUGCAGGAAGGAGGAGCAAACAAGGCGUCCCUCCACACCAGACACCAGGAGGCCUGUGCGGUUGGGUUUCAUACACUGGUCGGUUCCAUGAAUCAGCACCACCUGUUCGACGGAAUUCCUCAACCACUGGAUUCGUGCUUCAGAAUUCCAAAAAAGGUGCAAUCUUUUCGUCGAUCGAUAUCCAAAGAAGCAUCUUUUUGAGGCGUCGAGAGAUUUCGAUGUCGUGCUCUUCUUAUCCCUGGUACACUUUUGGAAUCCAGGGUUUUCGUUGGAGGUUUUGGAUUCUUUUUCUUUUUCACAGAAAGCUAUCGGGUGUUGAUUUCGUUUUUGUUGAAAGCCUGUUUAAAGUUGAUUUCGUGAUUCAGAUUUCAUGAUGAUGCAAUGUGCAACAGAGAACAUAAUGCUAUCACUUUAGCUUCCAUGAAUCUUUAUAAACUGCCAUGUUUGAAUUAAAACAUUAAAAAACAUAAGUAUCUUUAUACGAUGUAAUGUUUGAACCAUCAUAACAAGAUACAUCAAUUGGAAAAAUGACCAAGGGAACAAGUCGAUGUUUUCCUCAAUGCUAAUGUCCAUGUUAUAGAAAACAAUAGUGAUAUUUGAUGUGGACACCUAGUUGUUGUCUAGAUAUUUGAUGAUGAGCAAUCCUAAACAGACUAGAGAGAAUCUAUUGCAUUAUGUGCAAGAUUACUUUUUGUUCAACUACACACUCCUAAUUGCAAUCAGAUGAACAGAAGGAUACCACAUCAUUCUUAUCGUAGUAUAUUCAAGGAUAUGUUCAUGAAGGCAUAAAAAUGCAUUAGAAAGUACAUCUCUCAUUUCUGUCCAUUAUCUUGCUAUCCAUCUCAAUGGGUACAUAUCUGCCCUAGCCCAGUAACUGGUUGAAAUUUCAAUUGAUUAGCUGUUGAUCCAAGCAUUCUGGGCAUGCCAAUUUGCAUUGCAAGUACAUUUAUGCUACUAAAUCAGAGAGGAAUGAAUAAAACAGAAGUUCUUUUGAUCCUAGUCACUUUCUAUUUGAUUUAGUUUGCCUUGCUCGUUAUGAAAAUUUUAGUGCAAAGCAAAUUUCAAACAACUUUUCUUCAGAGCCUUUUCCUAUUCCUCUCACUUGCCUAUAUCAUUUUCAAUUUGCUCACUGUCACAUUGUCCUAAUUUAGCUUAUUGUAUUAUUCUUUUUCAUUUUUAGAAAGGUCUCAAAUUGAUAAUUCUGAUAUGGCCCAGUGAUCUUGCUUGCUUGGGUCUUUUCAAUUUGCAACCAAACAUCCUCAACCGCAGAAAGUUGCAGUUCUCCUUUGCUGUGAUGGUAAAACACAUAUCAGUUGCAAAACACCCUGUAUUCGAAUCUGCAGUUAAUGGGCUUGUACCUAUCCGUGAUAUACAGUGAUGUCCAACAGAUCUGAUGUAGCAGAAGCAACUAGGUAGAAAAAUAGAAACAGAGGGUUUUUAGAGAGAAGUGAAGGGGAAAAGUGAAGAUAAAUAGACCAUUUGUUUGAAGAACUAAUUUCUCUGAGAUGCUUUUAUUUGUAUAUUAAUGGAGACACUUCACAGUUUCACAGUCAACAAUCAUCAACUCUGUUACCAAGGCAACUCAUAUUUGAACCAUGAAAAGACUGCUGAACUAUGCUAAGUGCUCAUCAUGUGCCAAUAAAAUUCAAGAUGAUGAAUGGGUGCAUAAAAUAGCCAAGUGAUGCUAUGCCACUUGUCUUAUAUUUAUUUUGAUUUCAGAAAAAUACUUGUUGUAUCACUUAAAGCAACUUAUAGCUAGGUAUUGUAUCAAUCAAAACAAAAUUUUGUUACUGCAUGAGUUCCAAUCAGAGUUCUUUGCUUAUCCAUCAUAUACAUGUGUAGUUGAAUUAUCAAAGCAACUUGUAUGUCAUUUGGUGAAGACAAAUUACUCCUAUUUUUCUCAUAGCUUUCUCUCUUCUGGUCCUGCAUUGUUGCUUUCUGCAUCAUGCUGCUGUUGAAUCUUGAUGCUACAGCUAGUCUCAUGCUUUCUUCAGCUACAGUUUCCACUGCAUGCAUCUACCAUGUCUGAACAUAGUGUUUGUUCAAGCCAAGAAAAGCCAAUGAACAUAGUGUGCAUCUAUAAUUCCUGGGAAAGUAUACUUUCACUGUAUCACUGACUAGAAAGAGUGUUGCAUCAAAUAAUUUUGCUUCAUAUCUCAUUCAUUCCAAAGACUGCUGCUAUAUUGUAAGCUGGACAUACCAAUAUAUACUGAUUCAUGGCUGCAUCUGAACAGUUUUGCCUUUACAAAACAACUAUUACCAUCACUUCCUUAUCUCACUGUUUUGACAAACAAAAUCUUAAAUGUAGAAGCACAAUGCUUUUGACCAUUUGUGCAGGUAAAGAGAUUCGAUAACACAGGACCUCUAAUUGGACCAGGAAAAAGAGGUUCGGGAGUUCUCCAGUGAAUUGCUUCUGGCUCAAACUAGGAGCUGCUCCUGCAUAAACAGACUAGUAGACAUUGUUGAGAUAGAAGUAUAGACCAGGCAAUCCUGCAACUCCAAGCACAACAGCAACAGGUAAUGCUCGCCUGCAGAACACAGUCAGGAGGAUGACAAAUCUACAGGAUCUUUGCUCAUCUCUAAUUAGGUGGUACAAUAGAUUCAGCUUGUUGUUGUAGAAAGUUACCCGAUAGCUUCAUCUCUCUUGAUCUGUGCCUUCCUUGCUUGACGGACGUCGGUGUCAUUAGAGUUCUUGGCUACGGCUGGUUCGUAAGGCCUGAAUCUUCUUUUAGGGGCACCACAAACUGCAGGUGGUAGAAAAUUCCUUGAGCAAGCAUUUUGAUGAUUACUGAACUCGGUUUAAUGAUUGAACUCCGUUUGCAGGCCCUAAUUGAAUGUGCUGAUGAAAAGGUUGAACUCGCCGGGACAGAAGUACUUAUCAGGCAGCUUCUCAAAUGGCGUCCUGUCAUUGUAGAUAUAGCUGCAGGUACAUUGUCAUGGAAAGCACCGAAGCAGACGAGUAUGUUAGCCAUCAACGUUAUAGAGAGAACAGAGGCAACAGAUGGAAGGAAGGGAAACCCGCAGUCGCGGCAGAUGUAGGCCUACUUGGACACCACGCGCAUGGAGAACCUCGGCGCCGUGGCGGGGCAUCGGCUCGGUGGCGGCAGCAGGAGGUGCAGGGAGGGAGAGAAGGCGGCUGACCGGAGGGCGUAGCGGUCGGCGGGGCCGCGCAGGCCUGGAUGGCUGGGUGGAUUGGUCCCCCGCGAAGCCGCGAUGGUGGAUCUCAGCCCUGCCACUGCUUGAAGGGCCAUCUCUCGCUCUCUCUCUCUCUCUCUCUCUCUCUCUCGUUACAUGAGACGAGGGGAUAAGAGAGAAGGUAAUAGAAGUGUGGCGAUCGCAGGCCAAUUGUGAAGUGCAUGGGAACGUGGAAGCUUGGCUGCCACACUAAUCUCUCCUGCUGCUUAUCUCCUUUCUGCUCCUUUACUUUUCCUGUUUACGCCAUGAAUUCUUUUAGAUUACGAGUUCACUCUACUUACUUUGUCUUCCUUUGAGAGCAGCACAUGAAAGCAUCAGAGGAAAACCUAAGCUCGAUUAAACUAUAAAACAGUCUUUCUACUCUGUGAUACUUGAGCUUAAAGUUCAUCGUUGAUCCGAACACAACAG